rfam:Metagenome sequence AGZO15245.g2, whole genome shotgun sequence.
ACAACCCUGCCCAGAGAAGGUUGGCCACCAACUGGAAGCGAGUCUUGCGUGGAACGGGGGUAACCCCGGCUGCGAAGCGUAGACAGCGAGCAGACAGGCUAUGUGAUAGAGCCCCGAAAUCUAGUUGUGGGAGCAGACGCGGUCACAAUCGCGGAAGGCAACACCAAAGGGUCAAGAAUGGCCUGACCCUGAGGUCCCACCGGGGUCCAAGAGCA